GAGGCUGCGGUCAUGGAGGGAGCAGGAGCUGGAUCCGGCUUCCGGAAGGUGAGGGCCGGAGGGCAGGGGCUAGGCAGGCGCGGACGCUCCGUCCCGACCUCACGCGUGACACUGUGAGGGCCAGACGCCAGCCCCCGCGCCGCCCCCUGUGCCUUUGAGGUUGGGCCCGUUCUCAGACUCCAUCUCCGGCCGGGCCGCGCGCCCCGCGCCCUCGUGGGCUGGUGUCUCGCAGCUGGAGCUGGUGAGCAGGCUGCUGCACCUGCACUUCAAGGAUGACAAGACCAAAGAAGCAGCAGUCCGCGGCGUGCGGCAGGCCCAGGCAGAAGACGCGCUCCGUGUGGACGUGGACCAGCUGGAGAAGGUGCUUCCGCAGCUGCUCCUGGACUUCUAGGGAUCUCAGCCGUGGCUGAGGCCACCCCCAGAGGAGCCCCUGGUCCACAGAAGCAGGCCUUGUGUUUCCAGCGGCCUCUGAUAAGAGGCAGGGAAGGACCUGAAGGAUUUGGAGUUGAUUCAAACAAGAUCUCUGGGAGUCUCCAGCCUGUGCAGAAGGGGCAGGACUGCAGUGCACUGCGGGCCUUGGAGUGUCCAGUGGGGACACUGGUGUGGGAAGGGGCAGCACCUGGGGAGUCCCUGCCUCUCCUCCCUGGGACAAUAGUGUGCAUGCCACCCGGGGUCCUACAGGCAGGUGCUGGGAAAGGCCUGGCCAGCAGGUAGCCUGUGUGUUUGACAAACAGCAGCUGGCAGCGCUGCCU
rnacentral:lncRNA from 1 species